rnacentral:rRNA from 1 species
UGGGGAAUUUUGGACAAUGGGCGAAAGCCUGAUCCAGCAAUGCCGCGUGUGUGAAGAAGGCCUUCGGGUUGUAAAGCACUUUUGUCCGGAAAGAAAUCCUUGGCUCUAAUACAGUCGGGGGAUGACGGUACCGGAAGAAUAAGCACCGGCUAACUACGUGCCAGCAGCCGCGGUAAUACGUAGGGUGCAAGCGUUAAUCGGAAUUACUGGGCGUAAAGCGUGCGCAGGCGGUUUGCUAAGACCGAUGUGAAAUCCCCGGGCUCAACCUGGGAACUGCAUUGGGUGACUGGCAGGCUAGAGUAUGGCAGAGGGGGGUUAGAAUUCCACGUGUAGCAGUGAAAUGCGUAGAGAUGUGGAGGAAUACCGGUGGCGAAGGCAGCCCCCUGGGCCAAUACUGACGCUCAUGCACGAAAGCGUGGGGAGCAAACAGGAUUAGAUACCCUGGUAGUCCACGCCCUAAACGAUGUCAACUAGUUGUUGGGGAUUCAUUUCCUAGUAACGUAGCUAACGCGUGAAGUUGACCGCCUGGGGAGUACGGUCGCAA